rnacentral:rRNA from 1 species
ACGCUCGACACCUAGGCAGCAGUAGGGAAUCUUCCACAAUGGACGCAAGUCUGAUGGAGCAACGCCGCGUGAGUGAAGAAGGUUUUCGGAUCGUAAAGCUCUGUUGUUGGUGAAGAAGGAUAGAGGUAGUAACUGGCCUUUAUUUGACGGUAAUCAACCAGAAAGUCACGGCUAACUACGUGCCAACAGCCGCGGUAAUCUGAGCGGGCUGGCAAGGC